UGGUCCGAUUUGAUUAAAAUUUUCUUUGAGCAACCACCAUAUCAAGGGGCGAAUUUGUCACUAGGCAAGUUUUUUUCGCGGCAAUCAGAAACAACAGAUACAGCCAAAAUAUAUGUUCGCAAAGCUCAAGAACGGCUGAACCGAUUAUU